rnacentral:rRNA from 1 species
GACGGAGGGGGCUAGCGUUGUUCGGAAUUACUGGGCGUAAAGCGCACGUAGGCGGCCUUUCGAGUCAGGCGUGAAAGCCCCGGGCUUAACCCGGGAAUUGCGUUUGAUACUGUUGGGCUUGAGACCGGGAGAGGAUAGCGGAAUUCCCAGCGUAGAGGUGAAAUUCGUAGAUAUUGGGAAGAACACCAGUGGCGAAGGCGGCUAUCUGGACCGGUACUGACGCUGAGGUGUGAAAGCGUGGGGAGCAAACAGG